rnacentral:ncRNA from 1 species
CAAAGGUUUGGUCCUGACUUUAUUAUCAGCUUUAACCCAAUUUACACAUGCAAGCCUCCGCAACCCUGUGAGGAUGCCCUCAAUCUCCCGUCCGGAGACGAGGAGCCGGUAUCAGGCACAAAAGUUAGCCCAAGACGCCUUGCUCAGCCACACCCCCAAGGGAAUUCAGCAGUGAUAGACAUUAAGCCAUGAGUGAAAACUUGACUUAGUCAGGGUUAUAAAGGGCCGGUAAAACUCGUGCCAGCCACCGCGGUUAUACGAGAGACCCGAGUUGAUAAACCCGGCGUAAAGAGUGGUUAUGGAUGAACCCCCUCCACUAAAGCUAAAGACCCCCUAGGCUGUUAUACGCACCUGGGGGCUCGAACCACCUAUACGAAAGUAGCUUUAUCCCCUUCCACCAGAACCCACGACAGCUGGGGCACAAACUGGGAUUAGAUACCCCACUAUGCCCUGCCGUAAACUUAGAUAUUUCAAUACAAUAAAUAUCCGCCCGGGGACUACGAGCGCCAGCUUAAAACCCAAAGGACUUGGCGGUGCUUCAGACCCCCCUAGAGGAGCCUGUUCUAGAACCGAUAACCCCCGUUCAACCUCACUACUCCUUGCUUUUCCCGCCUAUAUACCGCCGUCGCCAGCUUACCCUGUGAAGGCAUCGCAGUAAGCAGAAUGGGCAAUGCCCAAAACGUCAGGUCGAGGUGUAGCGUACGAAGUAGGAAGAAAUGGGCUACAUUAUCUGAAGCAGAUUAUUCACGGAAAGUCACCUGAAAUUAGUGACUCAAAGGUGGAUUUAGCAGUAAGGGGAGAAUAGAGCGCUCUCCUGAAGCCGGCUCUGAAGCGCGCACACACCGCCCGUCACUCUCCCCAACAACAAUUACAACUGAUAAGUAACAAGACAGCAGCUACAAGGGGAGGCAAGUCGUAACAUGGUAAGUGUACCGGAAGGUGCACUUGGAAUAAC